UGCCUAAAAUCACACUGCUAAUAAGCGUCUAAAAUCUCUGACUACAGGACUCAUCUACUGCUCUACCUAGCUGCUCUAAAGAAAUGAAAGCAGAGAUCAUUUAGUCUGACUCAUUUUAAAGAUUAGGAAAUGGAGGAUCAGAAGGAUUAAAUGAUUUUCUCAAGGUUACCAGGUAGAAAAAGAAGCAGAGUCAGAAAAUAGUUCAUUCCAAGGCUCUUUCCACUGUUCCAGCCUGGGAUUCAAAGAAGCUCCAGUUUCAGCCCCAGCUUUGCUAGUAACUAGUUGAACAACCCUGGACAAAUCUCUUUUUCUGAAGGAGCUUCAGAUUUCUGUAAAGUGAGAAGGUUCAAUCAAAUUGGAUUCAGCAGACCUGUAUUAAGUGUCAACUAUAGACAAGGCACUGUAAAAAGUAAUCGAAUUUCUGUAACCCUGUACAGAUUAAAGGAUAAUGUCACCACAACCACCCUGUGAGCUUUCUCAUAGAACAGCAAAACAAAUUUUUAUACUGGCCAUGGCCCAUCCCAUCUUAUUCUGGAUUUUAAGGUUCCCUCACCAACCUCCAUCAGCAGAUGUUGAUAAUUAUACUGCUGACUCUCUCCAUCAUGAAUACCAAUAAUAGAGAGGACCAAGUGUCCAAUGAAGUGACCUUUCUGCUGUUGCUUUCAUUGCCUUUGGAUUCAAGGAUGAAACUGACUGCCAAAUCUUUAUUGACUUUUCCAAAGAGUACCUGAGACAUUUUUCCAUGUGGAUUCCAAGUAUAUAGAUCAUAAGAUUUAGAAUUCAGAAAUCACCUAUUUGAAUUCUCUUAUUUUAUGGAUGAGAAAAUGGAGGCCAAGGAAAGUUAAAUGAUUCACCUAAAGGCUAGUCAGGCAUUAAGCACCAGGAUCAGGAUUCAGACAUAGAUAAUUUAACUUGAAAUCUUGUGUAUUCUCUUUAGUUGUUUAGUUUAAUUUGUAAUAUAAAUGAAAUGCCACUGUGGAUGUAUUGCAAUUUUUUCAAUAAAGUAUUCACAAGUUGAUCA
rnacentral:lncRNA from 1 species